AAAGGGUCCGUAGGCGGUUUGGUAAGUCAGUGGUGAAAGCCCAUCGCUUAACGAUGGAACGGCCAUUGAUACUGCCAGACUUGAAUUACUAGGAAGUAACUAGAAUAUGUAGUGUAGCGGUGAAAUGCUUAGAUAUUACAUGGAAUACCAAUUGCGAAGGCAGGUUACUACUAGUGGAUUGACGCUGAUGGACGAAAGCGUGGGGAGCGAACAGGAUUAGAUACCCGUGU
rnacentral:rRNA from 1 species